rnacentral:rRNA from 1 species
CCUACGGGAGGCAGCAGUGAGGAAUAUUGGUCAAUGGGCGAGAGCCUGAACCAGCCAAGUCGCGUGAGGGAGUACUGCCCUAUGGGUUGUAAACCUCUUUUGUCGGGGAGCAAAAGCCGGACGUGUCCGGCUGUGAGAGUACCCGAAGAAAAAGCAUCGGCUAACUCCGUGCCAGCAGCCGCGGUAAUACGGAGGAUGCGAGCGUUAUCCGGAGUUAUUGGGUUUAAAGGGUGCGCAGGCGGAUUUUUAAGUCAGCGGUAAAAUCGUGGGGCUCAACCCCAUCCAGCCGUUGAAACUGGGGAUCUAGAGUGUGCGAGAGGUAUGCGGAAUGCGUGGUGUAGCGGUGAAAUGCAUAGAUAUCACGCAGAACCCCGAUUGCGAAGGCAGCAUACCGGUGCACAACUGACGCUCAGGCACGAAAGCGUGGGUAUCGAACAGGAUUAGAUACCCCUGUAGUC